rnacentral:rRNA from 1 species
GACGAACGCUGGCGGCGUGCUUAACACAUGCAAGUCGAACGGAAAGGCCCUGCCUUUGUGGGGUGCUCGAGUGGCGAACGGGUGAGUAACACGUGAGUAACCUGCCCUUGACUUUGGGAUAACUUCAGGAAACUGGGGCUAAUACCGGAUAGGAGCUCCUGCUGCAUGGUGGGGGUUGGAAAGUUUCGGCGGUUGGGGAUGGACUCGCGGCUUAUCAGCUUGUUGGUGGGGUAGUGGCUUACCAAGGCUUUGACGGGUAGCCGGCCUGGGAGGGUGACCGGCCACAUUGGGACUGAGAUACGGCCCAGACUCCUACGGGAGGCAGCAGUGGGGAAUAUUGCACAAUGGGCGGAAGCCUGAUGCAGCAACGCCGCGUGCGGGAUGACGGCCUUCGGGUUGUAAACCGCUUUCGCCUGUGACGAAGCGUGAGUGACGGUAAUGGGUAAAGAAGCACCGGCUAACUACGUG